UGGGGAGGGCCCGAGCACGUCUCUAGGGCCUGUCACUGCUCCUAGGGUGAUGACUCUCCCUCAGGGCACAGCAGUCAGCACUGGGCGUUCUGCUUGCAGGUGGCCCUGUGCACGUUUGCCGUCUAUGUGACCAUUGACGAGAACAACAUCCUGGAUGCCCAGACAGCCUUCGUGUCUUUGGCCUUGUUCAACAUCCUCCGGUUUCCCCUGAACAUUCUUCCGAUGGUCAUCAGCAGCAUCGUGCAGGUACAGGGAGAAGCUGGGGCGACUUCCGAGAGGGGGCCUUGGGGUUCUAGGCCACAAAAGCAUGGAAGCGCCCCCGAGCGCAGCCUCUAGAUCACACUCCCGGUCGGGCUCCAUGAGGCCCGGACAAAGGCUGCCAUGCUUUUGUCUGGUCAUGCCUGAAAGAAAGAAAACGCAUUUGACUUCUUGACAGAGAACUCGCACUUGAGUAUAUGAAUCAAGUUUAAUGCAGCAGGGCUUUCCCAUGCUCUGGAAGAAUCUUUCCGAAAUACUCUAUUCUCUUCAGCCUAUUCCUCUGCCAUUCCUAUCCUUUUUUUCAAAAAUGUAGCUGUUGUCUGAGUUGAUUGAUUUUACAACCCACUGAUAGGUCUUGACCACCCACGCUUUGAGAAACCCCAACCUUACAGCCGGGCGCGGUGGCUCAUGCCUGUAAUCCCACCACUUUGGGAGGCUGAGGCGGGUAGAUCACCUGAGGUCAAGAGUUCGAGACCAGCCUGGCCAACAUAGUGCAACCUCAUCUCUACUAAAAAUACAAAAAUUAGCCAGGUGUGGUGGCGGGUCCCUGUAAUCCCAGCUACUCGGAAAGCUGAGGCGGAAACCCUGUCUCUACUAAAAAUACAAAAAUUAGCCAGAUGUGUUGGUGGGUGCCUGUAAUCCCAGCUAAUCUGGAGGCUGAGACACGAGAAUCGCUUGAACCCGGGAGGUGGAGGUUGCCNNNNNNNNNNCUUGGUCAGGUUGGCAAAUUAUAUGUUUUUCUGGCAAGUUUCUGUGAAGCAGAGUUAAACAUGUUUAUGAAUAUGAACUUUUCUGUUAAACUACCGCCUGCUUCAUCUUAGCUGAGUUUCAGGUGGAAUGUCUAAGGAAGCUCCAGCCGUUUCAGCAUUUGCUAAAGCGUGUUCAUGCUGCCACUGAAUUUUCUUAGUCUUGC
rnacentral:lncRNA from 1 species